AUAAUAGCGUUGAAGAGAAGAGUAAUUAAGUGAUUGAUAUUUACAGAGAGCUCCUGGCUGCUGAAAUGGAGUAAUAUCGAGCUUAAUGAAUAAAGUCUCGGAGCUUCUUACCAAUCUGAUGAUAAUUCAGGGAUCGUAAGACGGGUUCUUCCGAUAUAAAGAUAGGGUAUGUUAGUACCCGAAGAGGUUGGUUUGGUGACAGAUCAACAAACUGAGGUGGUACCGCGAAGUCAAACUCUCGUCCUCAAG
rnacentral:ncRNA from 1 species